GGCCAUUGUUCUAUCCAGACAGUGAGUUAACGUAAAAACUCAGUUGUCUGCAUUCCUCUUAUUCAUUGUAAGUCAGUUUUCAAGCUUAUUUUCUUAUUGUUUUCUCUUAGAGCAAGUUAUCUUUUCUGCAACAGGAGGACAAGAUGAGCAAGGUAUCAACAGGUGUCUUCACGAGCCUUCCACGUGGUUUCUCCUCCCUGGAGGAAAGGACAGGGGCACCAGAACCAGGUACAUGGCUGGCUCCAGGCUGCAGCAAGGAGAUGAGAAUCAAGCAUGCACUCUGUCUCUGUGAGAGGACUCAUCACUGCUAUAUUCAUGAGAGCUUGAAAACAAUACAGAAGUAGGAAAGAAGAAAGAAAAUGUGCGUGAAGAAGCAGACUCCCUUAAGGCAAGUUCUUCAUGUCAAAACACUUGUUGGCUGCUUGUUUUGAGGCUUUCAAUUUAAACAACGUAUGAAAUGCAAUGGCCUG
rnacentral:lncRNA from 1 species